CUUCGUUGGUAAAAGUGGAUGAGGUUUGCUUAAAUAGAACUGCUUCAGUUUUUCAAAAUGCUGGUUUAGAAUGGCUAACAUCAUUUAUUCACUGGAAAUCUCAAUUACAGUUUUCAUUUUGUUUUCUAUGUUUUAAUAAGUCUUCAGAAAACAUUUCACUCAGUGAUACCAAUUUGGGUGAGUAGAUUAGUAUCCUGACCAUCAGGAGGUGGGAUCUAGGUGAAGACGUGGAGAAUGAAGCUCCCCUGCCAGCCACACCUGAGAGCAGGUAAGGUCCAGAACGAAGCAAGGUAUAUAGACUCCCUCUUAAUAUUUGUUUCUAGAGCUGGCGGUUUCUAAUUUCAGGAGGAGAUGGAUGGAUGGAUUAGAGCUACAGAGGAUUGAUGGAGCUACAGAUGGAUGGAUGGAUUAGGCUACAGAGCCCUUGGGGCAGCUUCACGUAGUCUCUUCUUGGAAUUCCUUGUUUUUAAUGUGCCAUCCCUGCCGUAGUGACAUCUAGGACUUGGCUUCACUGGGACCCCAAACGAGCAUAGGAUCAAGCUGCAGAAAGUGAAUCUAGCUGCAGCAGUGACCAGGGGAAGAUUUCCAUGGAACUUAGCAUUGAAAACCAGACGGAUGAGUGACUGCCUGAGCACCUCAGAGCUCCACGGGACACCUCUUCUUUGUGCUGCACUCUGUGCCAGCACGCGCUUAACCAUCGCUCAGCUUUCUGUGACCUCCUUUCCAGGCAAAGGAAUACUGUGAUUACCGCUAGAAGCGAGUACCUCAGAUUGAGUGGCUUCUUGGUGAGAACACAUCGACUUGUUCCUCUGUACUAUGCCGCGGUAUUGGUUCAGCACCAACAUGAAAGGAAAUGUAUUCUGCCUUGUGGAAUUGACAGUUGAAA
rnacentral:lncRNA from 1 species